rnacentral:sRNA from 1 species
GAACAAGACACUCAUUCUCGUAGUAGGAAGGCGCGUGGGCAAGGCGGUGUGGCCGCCGGGCGAAAUCCCCCCAUGCGCAAAUGUGAAGGCUCCCUCGGGGGCCUUUUUUAUUGCCCGAA